UCUCUUGCCAGAACCUCCCGUAUCUCCGUAUAUAUAUAUACACACAUACACAGUCUCAUUUCGGUUUGGUGAGGAGACACGCAAUUCCUCGCGGGACCGUCAAAUUCGAUCCGUAAUCGUGAACACGAAUCCCUCAGGAACCCGCAGUAUCGCCUAAUUCGGGGUAAAUUUCAAAUUCUCUUGAUCCGUUCGCGUGUGUUGGUUGGUUUGAUCGCGAGAGAAUUCGGUCGAGGCGGUGAUUGGAGGGUUGUGUGGGACGAUGGGGAUGGAUUUGAGGGUGAUGACGGCGGGGGAACGUGGAUGGGGCCGAGGGAGCGGCGGCGGAGGAGGAGGUGGUUUCAGCCACGACGGCGAGCAUGAUUUGGGGCUAAUGGUUAGGGAUUUUCUUGAGACGGGCGGUGGAAGCGGCGGAGGGGACUCGUGGUGCAGCAGCGACAGCGAUUCAGGGUGUCCGGAUCUUUCUUCCCUUUCGGAUAAGAUUCAGUUUCUCAAGAACUCCAUGGCUCCGUAUGAGGCUGACGUUCUGUCAGCAGUUAGCUCCCAGAUGUUUGCUAUAAGGGAGAAGGAUCUCCACUCUGUAAAGUCCGGUACUUGCAAUGCCAGCUGCAUCAGGUUUUAUCUUGCGAAGCUCCUAAGACUUGCCGGUUACAAUGCUGCUGUUUGCUCAGCGAGAUGGCAACUGAGCGGCAAGGUUCCUGGCGGUAGGUUUAGCGCUGAUCGCACUAUUAUAUACUAUAGGGACCAUGAAUACAUAGAUGUAAUUUUGACAGACACCGGUGUUGGUCAGGACAAACGUCUGAUUGUUGACACGGAUUUCAGAAGCCACUUUGAAAUAGCCCGAGCCGUGGAUUCUUACCACAAAGUAAUGGAUUCAUUGCCCGUGGUUUACGUUGGCACUGUAACUAAACUAAAGCAGUUCCUCCAGGUCAUGGUGGAAGCAGCCAAAUACUCUUUAAAGCAGAACUCGAUGCCUUUGCCCCCGUGGAGAUCCCUCCAUUACUUGCAAUCGAAAUGGCACUCGCCGUACAAAAGGCACCUCGGGCCGAUCGACUUAGAUGGCCCUGAGAUGUUCUCCGAGGGUUUGCACAAACAGUGCGCCGAGAAUCUGAAGAGGCUUCAGCUGGCUCUCCAAUCCGAACGAGAGGGCGAGAGAUUGGCCAAGCCUAUAAUGAGCAGUGGUAAAAGCGGAUGGAGGAUGAAACCCGAGAGGACGAGAAAUCACACGGGGCGACGACGAGGUAACUGAGGUUGUACAGACGGAGAUUUCUGGGCAGAAUUUUUGCUCCUGAGUGUAAUUUUGGCGGCUUGUUAUGAUCGGGAAUCAACGAUACAGGUUGAUACGGAAUGAUGGUAGGUUUUAUACCAAGGAAAAAGAAAGUAUACGAAUACGAGUAAACAUUACACGUCCACUGACUGCUGAAUCUCUUUGCUCUUGACUUGUUACAGUUUAAUCAUGUCGAAUAGAAGUUCGCUUACUCAUGAGUGAGCUUCGCUUUUUUUUUUCUGAUAAUACGUAUGUUUUUUUUUUACUAUUUCUGUUCUAUCGUUUCGAGGUAACUCGGUUUAAUUCUUUUCGAGAGUAUUUA